AACGAACGCUUGCGGCGCGCCUAAUACAUGCAAGUCGAGCGAGAAAGUAUCUUCGGAUGCGAGUACAGCGGCGGACGGGUGAGGAACACGUAGAUAAUCUGCCUUAGAGUGGGGGAUAACUAAUCGAAAGAUUAGCUAAUACCGCAUAAGACCACAGGGGCUUCGGCUCUAGGGGUUAAAGGAGCAAUUCGCUCUAAGAUGAGUCUGCGUCCGAUUAGCUAGUUGGUGAGGUAAUGGCUCACCAAGGCAACGAUCGGUAACUGGUCUGAGAGGAUGACCAGUCACACUUGAACUGAGACACGGUCCAGACUCCUACGGGAGGCAGCAGUAGGGAAUAUUGCACAAUGGAGGAAACUCUGAUGCAGCGACGCCGCGUGAGUGAUGAAGGCCUUCGGGUUGUAAAACUCUGUGAUAAGGGAAGAUGAUGACGGUACCUUAUCAGAAAAGACCGGCUAACUUCGUGCCAGCCGCCGCCGUAA
rnacentral:rRNA from 1 species